rnacentral:rRNA from 1 species
UUGAGUAGGGAAAGUUUUUCGGUGUAGGAUGAGACUAUAUAGUAUCAGCUAGUUGGUAAGGUAAUGGCUUACCAAGGCUAUGACGCUUAACUGGUCUGAGAGGAUGAUCAGUCACACUGGAACUGAGACACGGUCCAGACUCCUACGGGAGGCAGCAGUAGGGAAUAUUGCGCAAUGGGGGAAACCCUGACGCAGCAACGCCGCGUGGAGGAUGACACUUUUCGGAGCGUAAACUCCUUUUCUUAGGGAAGAAUUCUGACGGUACCUAAGGAAUAAGCACCGGCUAACUCCGUGCCAGCAGCCGCGGUAAUACGGAGGGUGCAAGCGUUACUCGGAAUCACUGGGCGUAAAGGGCGCGUAGGCGGAUUAUCAAGUCUCUUGUGAAAUCUAAUGGCUUAACCAUUAAACUGCUUGGGAAACUGAUAGUCUAGAGUGAGGGAGAGGCAGAUGGAAUUGGUGGUGUAGGGGUAAAAUCCGUAGAUAUCACCAAGAAUACCCAUUGCGAAGGCGAUCUGCUGGAACUCAACUGACGCUAAGGCGCGAAAGCGUGGGGAGCAAACAGGAUUAGAUACCCUGGUAGUCCACGCCCUAAACGAUGUACACUAGUUGUUGGGGUGCUAGUCAUCUCAGUAAUGCAGCUAACGCAUUAAGUGUACCGCCUGGGGAGUACGGUCGCAAGAUUAAAACUCAAAGGAAUAGACGGGGACCCGCACAAGCGGUGGAGCAUGUGGUUUAAUUCGAAGAUACGCGAAGAACCUUACCUGGGCUUGAUAUCCUAAGAACCUCUUAGAGAUAAGAGGGUGCUAGCUUGCUAGAACUUAGAGACAGGUGCUGCACGGCUGUCGUCAGCUCGUGUCGUGAGAUGUUGGGUUAAGUCCCGCAACGAGCGCAACCCACGUAUUUAGUUGCUAACGGUUCGGCCGAGCACUCUAAAUAGACUGCCUUCGUAAGGAGGAGGAAGGUGUGGACGACGUCAAGUCAUCAUGGCCCUUAUGCCCAGGGCGACACACGUGCUACAAUGGCAUAUACAAUGAGACGCAAUACCGCGAGGUGGAGCAAAUCUAUAAAAUAUGUCCCAGUUCGGAUUGUUCUCUGCAACUCGAGAGCAUGAAGCCGGAAUCGCUAGUAAUCGUAGAUCAGCCAUGCUACGGUGAAUACGUUCCCGGGUCUUGUACUCACCGCCCGUCACACCAUGGGAGUUGAUUUCACUCGAAGCCGGAAUACUAAACUAGUUACCGUCCACAGUGGAAUCAGCGACUGGGGUGAAGUCGUAACAAGGUAACCGUAGGAGAACCUGCGGUUGGAUCACCUCCUUUCUA